GUUCGAUCUUCACGAUUUGGCAAUUCACAUUACUAUCGCAUUCGUGCUUUUAUCAUGCAGAACCAAGCUCCGUGUGAAAGUUUGAUUCAUUUGAAUUUUGCUAAGCGUAGAAUACGUCCCUAGGGACUACAGAAGAGUUUGUUGUUCUCCGCGGUGCCGGUUCAGGGAUGCGACGCUCCCGGGGCUCACCCCGCCGAGCCAACCGUUUGAUAACGUCCACAUGGGUUUGGAGUGGAAAACCCGGUAAUGACCUUCGUAGGGUGAACCUGCGGAGGGUUCAUUACCGAGUUUACAACUCCCAAACCCAAUGUGAACGUUACCAAACUGUUGCCUCGGCGGGGUCACGCCCCGGGUGCGUGGCAGCCCCGGAACCAGGCGCCCGCCGGAGGAACCAACCAAACUCUUUCUGUAGUCCCCUCGCGGACGUAUUUCUUACAGCUCUGAGCAAAAAUUCAAAAUGAAUCAAAACUUUCAACAACGGAUCUCUUGGUUCUGGCAUCGAUGAAGAACGCAGCGAAAUGCGAUAAGUAAUGUGAAUUGCAGAAUUCAGUGAAUCAUCGAAUCUUUGAACGCACAUUGCGCCCGCCAGUAUUCUGGCGGGCAUGCCUGUCCGAGCGUCAUUUCAACCCUCGAACCCCUCCGGGGGAUCGGCGUUGGGGAUCGGGACCCCUCACACGGGUGCCGGCCCCUAAAUACAGUGGCGGUCUCGCCGCAGCCUCUCCUGCGCAGUAGUUUGCACAACUCGCACCGGGAGCGCGGCGCGUCCACGUCCGUAAAACAACACCAACUUUCUGAAAUGUUGACCUCGGAUCAGGUAGGAAUACCUGCUGAGCUUAAGCAUAUCAGUAGCCGGAGGAAAA
rnacentral:rRNA from 1 species